UAAAACACAAAAGCUAAAAGAAAAAUAAAAGAACAUGUUUCACUUUUUAAAGAACAUCUUUUGUUAUUAUAAUCUAAAGACCCUCAUCCAACCACCAUAUAAUUCAUGUCCUUUUUUUUCCGUUGUUUUUUGAUACUGAUCUCAUCAAACUGUACAUGUUCUUGCGACAAAGGCAAGUGCAGCUCACCACCAAUCGAUAGCCCUUCUCCGCUGCCUUCUUUACACAACCGGCCCCUCUCUCUCUCUCUCUC
rnacentral:lncRNA from 1 species